AAGGAUAAUUUUCUGAGCAGUUGAGGUUGUUUGUGUGAUAAGGGAAGGCGGCUAGAUAGCGUAACUAUAGGUGUUUGAGAAAAUUUCCGAAGUUACUUUCAGAUUGAAAGGGUGAAAGUAGGUGCAACAAUUGGCCGUUGGGAGGGGAAAGGGUGCAGGGCUCGCCAGCCCGGCGCCACUACAGGGUUAACCGCGGCGGCGCCCGGUGCACACUGGGAGUUGUAGGCCGCGGGCAUUGUGGGAGUUGUCGUAAAAGCCUGCUUUCUUGCCGUGAUGGCCGCCGCCGAGGCAGGGAGUUGAGGGUUUCUGCCUUUCGGAGGGUUUGGGGGGCUGUCGGUCCCGUUAGAAGGCCACCAACAGCCCCCCAGGUUGCCAAGGGCCUGUUAGUUGUGUUCCUGGAAGGUGGGCAAGCAGCCUGAUGGGUUAACAUUGGGAUUUGCCGUCGUUAUAGCGGUCAAGGGGCCUGUAGCGGCUGCAGGGUCGGUGAGGGUUCCCAGCCGGCCGGACCUUGGUCGUCUGGCAUUCUGCCUUUGAAAUAUCUGGGUGGCCGGCGCCUAGGCAUAUGGGGUUGUGCUUUCUGUGUUGUGGUUUGUAGCUUGCAUCCUCCACUGUUCUUAGCGCAUUUGGCUCUGUCCAUAUGGCUGUUGGUACUCAUGGCCCUAUUUGGGGUUGGACUGGGCUCUUUUUCUUGGGUCUGGUGGGAUUUAAGCAAGAACUGGAAUUUUGUAAGAUGUACAGCAGUGUCCUGGGUGUUGUCUGUCUGGUGUGGGGUGUGAGCAGUUGCAGGAGUUAUGAACGUGUCCAUGAUCGUGUGGUUGGCUUUCCCUUGCAUGUGGUGAACUUUCCCCUCGUUUGCUAAUGCUGAAAGGCAGUGUCAGGCAGUUCCUACUUGUGAAAUGCCUUCUUAUUAACUUGGAUGUGUUCCUAAAUCUUGGGAGCUUUGCAAUUGCUUGUAGAAAGAUAUGUGUGCAAAACUGAAUUUAAAACGAGCACCAGGGUUGCAGGUACCUUUAGUUCUAGGGAGCCAGCUCCCCCAGGCUUCCCUGGUGCUGUGAAGUUGUUUGAGUUUAUUUAUGGAAAUUAGGUUUGCUUUGAGCUGUGUUACCUUACUCUUGGCUCAGAGUUUCUCUGCAUGUUGGGACCCUGAUCUUUGAUAUUGGGUACUGUUUCAACAUUUGAGGCUAAAUGAAGCACCGUGUACUGAUGUGUAAUGUCGUGUAUCACAAUCUCAGGAUAACACUAGAUAGCCAAGAAUGGCAGUACCUGUUUUGUCUGUCUACACGAAUUGGACCUCAUUGUUUCUGCCACAAUGUACUGCUCCAUAAAUUCCGCCUUAUUUCCAUGGUAUUGUCUGUAAGUUUUGAAAUCUAACUGGUCAUGAAAAGCCAUUUUUCAGGCAGUAUUUAAAAGCUUUUUCCCACAAGUAGAACUGGUAUCUAAAACAUUUUUUCAUUCAAGUUUGGUAAGGUGGGAGAUUUGAAAUAAGGUACAACAGUGGUUUUGGAAAUCAGCUAUCAAGUUUUAGUUUUAGGGGCCACCACGUGACAGAAAUGAUUUAUAGAGAGAGUAAAAAUUGUAUUCCAUUUCUCUUGGUAUUUUAGUGCAUAUAAAAACUAAAUAAACCACUUUCAUAUAUCAUUAAAAAGCCCUUUGUGUCUUGUGAUGAAUGAGGUUUUUAUAACUCCCCUAUUGUCUGGGUUUGCUUAGAAUAUAGUAAUGGGGCCGGGCAUGGUGGCUCACGCCUGUAAUCCCAACACUUAGGGAGGCCAAGGCCAGGGGAUCACUUGAGGUCAGGAGUUUGAGACCAGCCUGGCCAACAUGGUGAAACCCCAUCUCUACUAAAAAUACAAAAAACUUAGCUGGGUGUGGUGGCAUACGCCUAUAAUCUCAGCUACUCAGAAGGCUGAGGUGGGAGAAUCACUUGAACCCAGGAGGUGGAGAUAUCAGUGAACGGAGAUUGUGCCACUGCACUCCAGCCUGGGCAACAGAGUGAGACCCUGUCUCAAAAAAAAAAAAAAAAUUAGCUGGGUGUUGUGGCAGGUGCCUGUAGUCCGGCUACUCUGGAGGCUGAGGCAGGAGAAUCGGCUUGAACCUGGGAGGUGGAGGCGGCAGUGAGCCAAGAUCACUUCACUGUACUCCACCCCUCCAACCUGGGCAACAGAGUGAGACUGCAUCUCAAAAAAUAUAUGUAUAGUAAUGGUAGAGAAAGCAGCAAAGCUGGCUGGGUAUGUACAUGUGAUUCUGUUGAAACUGAUUUCAGGUAUGGAUUGAUAGGCUAAUAUUGUUGGGUUGCUAGUCAGAUCUCAGGAAAGUAUUUCCUUCCCUCUAACCUGACCUAAGUGUGUCUUAGAAUGUUAACUAACUUGACAAUUGAAUAAAAAAGAUUGAGAAAUUUAUUUUUAAAUGAUCCAUAUUGUCCAUAUUUGUUACUGUUUGGUGAUGUGGUCAAAUACUAUUGUUCUGGUGAAUUGGUUUUGUAUCUUAGGAAGACCGGAUGGCUAGACUUUGUAGAUGUGUAGAAUCAUUUAGAAUGAACCACAGCCACAGUGCCCAUUUGCCUUGAAAGAAGAUACAUGAAUUUUUAAUUGACAAGUUACCUCUGGCUUGAGUUAAACAGAACAAAUAGUUCAUUAGAGGGUGCUUUGAAUGGACUUUGAGAGUGGAAAGGUACAUACUUUGUUAAGUUUAGAGGUAAACUCAUCUCUGCAUUUGCAUAGAGCCCUUCCAGACAUUUGCCAGUAGUCACAUCUCUCUACAAAGUGGUGAGGUUUUUGUGUCCAAGAAUUUUGGUAUUUAAUCAUUUAUUUGGUACUCUGUUUCCCAUCCUUAUCACUCCAAUUCUGAUGCUGGUGUGAAAUGUUUUGUGUAAUAUACAAAGGCAACAGUAGAUGUUUCAGAAAAAAAUGUGAUAAAAUCUACUUAUGUUUUCUGGAACAUGAUUCAUAAGGUUGUGUUUACAUAUUGGAUAGAUACGUCAAAAGGUGUCUUUUUGAAACCCAGGGUUUGCACAGUUUCAACGAAACUGUUUUCAAUGAGGCAUAACACCAAAGGGUAACUUUCUUGACUAAGGUGUUAUAAAAUGAAAGCCUUUAAUUCUUGUGUUCAUUCAAAAAAGAAAUGGAAACUUGUUUCCAAAUAAUAGAAUUUGGAACAUGACCAAAAAAAUUUUCACUUUAGACUGUAGCCAAAAUUUGGAGACUCCAAGAAGGGAACAGAGUGUAUCUGUUUGGGGCCUUUACUCAGGUUCUUUCUAAUCUCUUGUUUUCCCGCAUAUAACUAUUCACAUUGCUGAAAGUAAGCAGUUCUUUAUUUUUUCGGAGACAGGGUCUUACUCUGUCACCCAGGCUGGAGUGCAGUGGUGUGAUCAUAGCUUACUAUAACCUCAAACUCCCAGGCUCAAGCUAUCCUCCUGCCUCAGCCUCCUGAGUUGCUAGAACUACAGGCAUGCUCCACCACACCUUGCUAAUUUUUUUUUUUUUUUUUUUGAGACAGUUUUUCACUAUGUUGUCCAGGCUGGUGUCAAACUUCUUGCCCCAAGUGAUCCUCCUGCCUCCCAAAGGGCUGAGAUUACAGGCAUGAGCCACCACACAUGACCCUAAGCAGUUCUUAUUAAUGCAUUUCUGCAUUUGUGAACAUUUGUAAGGGUAAAACUGCAUAUAAAACAACAAAAUCACCCAUUCCGAAUUUGAUCUUUAUUUUUCAUUAAUAUUAUUUGAAAAAGAAGAAUUGUUGAUUGUAGUUUGUACACUUAAGUUUGGUACGUUUGGUUUUAGAUUCCAGUACUCUUAAACAUGGAAUGUAUAUUCACCCCUCACCCUGACAGGAUAGUAAGGUUUCUGAGAGAAAGAGGAGUGGUAUUUUUAAAACUUCUAUGCUUAUUAAUGAUGAAUUUUAUUUUUUGAUUCUUCCUACAUGUAUUUCCAGGACAGAAUAUAUUAUCUCUGCCCUGCUGGGCCCUUUGUUUUUGAAGUCAGAGUAUUGGAUGAUUUUUAUGGGUAGGACAGAGCAAACCAACACUUACUUCAAAAUGCUGAAUGUAGAUUAAAAGAUAUUCAUUUCCAUUAGAAAUAAAGCAAGAUCGUAUGCAUAUGUCCUACCAGUUAAAGGAUUCUGUAUCUUAAAGCCUCAAAAAAAAUCAUAAAUAAUCAUUUUGCUUUGUCCUUUGCCUUCCUUAUUUUUCUUUUUGUUCAGUUUUCUCUCUCAGUGUGCCUUUGUGGGGUUCCAGAAUUUAAAUGACAUUUUUGUUUAUUUUGGAUUAUUUUUCAAAUUAUUUGCUUCAACUUAAAACCAUUUUCACCUAAAUUAUUCAUAACAUGAUUUUAAUAAGUCAUUCUUGUCAUAUUUCAUUUUUAUAAUUAAAAUAUUAUAAAUAUUGAAUUUCUUUUUUGGGAAAAAAUGAGCUAGCUACUUAAACCAAAUUCACAAAGUUCCAGAAUUUGGCCUGCAAAAAAAUCCAGGGAUGUAUAGCUGUAGCUUCUUUUUCUGUUAUUAACAGUCUUUAGACAAUGAAGAGAGAUGCAUGAUUUGGCCGUUUCAGAAGAAAUCUGAAAAGCACUUCUUGCCCAACACUAAAUAUAAUGUGAAAAUUUUAUUAGGACAGUAUAAGGAGAAAUCCUUGAAUUCACAUAAAAGAAUCGAAUAAAGCAGUUCUAUAUGUGUUUACCAAUCUAAAAAAAUUUUUUUUAUUUAGUAAACCACUUUCUUGUUUUCUUAACUCAGAAAUAAAUGUAUGUGUCUGGAUUUGAAAAUUUUUUUUGUUUUUUUGUUUUGAGACAGAGUCUCACUCUGUUGCCCAGGCUGGAGUGCAGUGGUGUGAUUGAUCUUGGCUCACUGCAACCUCCACCUCCUGGGUUCAAGUGAUUCUCCUGCCUCAGCCUCCCAAGUAGCUGGGAUUACAGGCACCCACCACCAUGCCUAGCUAAUUUUUGUAUUUUUAGUAGAUACGGGGUUUCGCUAUGUUGGCCAGGCUGGUCUCGAACUUCAGACCUCAGGCGUUCCGCCUGCCUCAGCCUGCCAAUGUGCUGGGAUCACAGGCGUGAGCACCCGACCUGAAAUUGUUUUUAAGGAGAAUUCAUUUUUGGUAGGGAGAGCCAUGUUUUCAAUAAAGUUGUAGUAAAAGAGUAGCCAACUUGUGUCUUUUUUUUUUUUAAUUAUUAACCAAAGGUAUUGAUUAUAUGUAGUUUAUAAGGGGAGAAAAGGGCCCAUUGUAG
rnacentral:lncRNA from 1 species